rnacentral:pre_miRNA from 1 species
CUUCUACUCCCUCCGUUCGGAAUUACUUGUCGCAGAAAUGGAUGUAUUUAGACAUAUUUUAGUUUUAGACACAUCCAUUUCCGAGACAAGUAAUUCCGAACGGAGGGAGUAAUUU